CACCGCCUGGGGAGUACGACCGCAAGGUUAAAACUCAAAUGAAUUGACGGGGACCCGCACAAGUAGUGGAGCAUGUGGUUUAAUUCGAAGAUACGCGCAGAACCUUACCAACACUUGACAUGUUCGUCGCGACUCUAAGAGAUUAGAGUUUUCGGUUCGGCCGGACGAAACACAGGUGCUGCAUGGCUGUCGUCAGCUCGUGUCGUGAGAUGUUGGGUUAAGUCCCGCAACGAGCGCAACCCUCACUUUUAGUUGCUACCGUUUAGUUGGGCACUCUGAAAGAACUGCCAGUGAUAAGCUGGAGGAAGGUGGGGAUGACGUCAAGUCCUCAUGGCCCUUACGUGUUGGGCUACACACGUGCUACAAUGGCAUUUACAACAGGAAGCAAGAUGGCGACGUCAAGCAAAUCCUAAAAAGAUGCCUCAGUUCGGAUUGUACUCUGCAACUCGAGUACAUGAAGCUGGAAUUACUAGUAAUCGCGGAUCAGCGCGCCGCGGUGAAUACGUUCCCGGGUCUUGUACACACCGCCCGUCACACCAUGGGAGUUGGUUCUACCUUAAGGCAAGGUUUAAAACCCUUGACCACGGUAUAGUCAGCGACUGGGGUGAAGUCGUAACAAGGUAGCCGUAGGGGAACCUGCGGCUGGAUUACCUCCUUUCUAAGGAUGAUUAAGGAUUAUUUCUUAAUCUAAAUAAUAACAGGUUAAUGUUGACCGUCCUCAUUUCUCUUCUUGAAAUAGUGUUUCUCUCUUCUGCAUAAGGGCCGGUAGCUCAGUUGGUUAGAGCACACCCUUGAUAAGGGUGGGGUCGAAAGUUCGAGUCUUUCUCGGCCCACCAAAAUAAACCGGGGGAUUAGCUCAGCUGGGAGGGCGCCUGAUUUGCAUUCAGGAGGUCAGCGGUUCGAUCCCGCUAUCCUCCACCAAGAAACACUUAGUUAUUUUAUUUGUGAAAAUUUAAUAUUAUCAAUAUCUAUAUCCGAUUGUUCGUAGAUCUGAACAAUCAAUAAAUAUUCGAAUAGAUGAAUAUUUAAUAAAAAUUUGAUUCAACACAGAAUUUUUUUCUG
rnacentral:sRNA from 1 species